rnacentral:rRNA from 1 species
UUCUAAGGGCGGUGAAGUCAGACCGGAAGGACUGGUGGAGCGCUUAGAAGUGAGAAUGCCGGUAUGAGUAGCGAAAGAAGGGUGAGAAUCCCUUCCACCGAAUAUCUAAGGUUUCCUGAGGAAGGCUCGUCCGCUCAGGGUUAGUCGGGACCUAAGCCGAGGCCGAUAGGCGUAGGCGAUGGACAACAGGUAGAGAUUCCUGUACCAGUGCUAAUUGUUUAACCGAUGGGGUGACACAGAAGGAUAGGGAAUCGCACGAAUGGAAAUGUGCGUCCAAGCAGUGAGUGUGAGAAGUAGGCAAAUCCGCUUCUCGCGAAGCAUGAGCUGUGAUGGGGAAGGAAAUUAAGUACGGAAGUUCCUGAUUUCACGCUGUCAAGAAAAGCCUCUAGGAAGAGUAGUACUGCCCGUACCGCAAACCGACACAGGUAGAUGAGGAGAGAAUCCUAAGGUGAGCGAGAGAACUCUCGUUAAGGAACUCGGCAAAAUGACCCCGUAACUUCGGGAGAAGGGGUGCUCUAUUAGGGUGCAAGCCCGAGAGAGCCGCAGUGAAUAGGCCCAGGCGACUGUUUAGCAAAAACACAGGUCUCUGCAAAACCGUAAGGUGACGUAUAGGGGCUGACGCCUGCCCGGUGCUGGAAGGUUAAGAGGAGUGCUUAGCUUCGGCGAAGGUACGAAUUGAAGCCCCAGUAAACGGCGGCCGUAACUAUAACGGUCCUAAGGUAGCGAAAUUCCUUGUCGGGUAAGUUCCGACCCGCACGAAAGGCGCAACGAUCUGGGCACUGUCUCAACGAGAGACUCGGUGAAAUUAUAGUACCUGUGAAGAUGCAGGUUACCCGCGACAGGACGGAAAGACCCCGUGGAGCUUUACUGCAACCUGAUAUGGAAUGUUUGUACCGCUUGUACAGGAUAGGUAGGAGCCGAAGAGACGUGUGCGCUAGCAUACGAGGAGGCAAUGGUGGGAUACUACCCUGGCUGUAUGACCAUUCUAACCCGCCACGCUUAGCGCGUGGGGAGACAGUGUCAGGUGGGCAGUUUGACUGGGGCGGUCGCCUCCUAAAGAGUAACGGAGGCGCCCAAAGGUUCCC